CAGUCGCCGCGGUAAGACAGAGGAUGCAAGCGUUAUCCGGAAUGAUUGGGCGUGAAGCGUCUGUAGGUGGCUUUUCAAGUCCGCCGUCAAAUCCCAGGGCUCAACCCUGGACAGGCGGUGGAAACUACCAAGCUGGAGUACGGUAGGGGCAGAGGGAAUUUCCGGUGGAGCGGUGAGAUGCGUUGAGAUCGGAAAGAACACCAACGGCGAAAGCACUCCGCCGGGCCGACACUGACACUGAGAGACGAAAGCUAAGGGAGCAAAUGGGAUUAGAUACCCCAGUAGUCCCUGUCUCUUAUAC
rnacentral:rRNA from 1 species